GGCGCUAUGGUGUAGUGGCAGCACUUGGGAUUUUGAUGUGGCGCACCAACCGCAUGAAGUUCUUCCCACAACCCAGGUUCGAACCCUGGUAGUGCCU